rnacentral:rRNA from 1 species
UUUUUGACCUCAAAUCAGGUAGGACUACCCGCUGAACUUAAGCAUAUCAAUAAGCGGAGGAAAAGAAACUAACAAGGAUUCCCCUAGUAACUGCGAGUGAAGCGGGAAAAGCUCAAAUUUAAAAUCUGGUAGUCUUUGGCUGCCCGAGUUGUAAUCUAGAGAAGCGUUAUCCGCGCUGGACCGUGUACAAGUCUCCUGGAAUGGAGCGUCAUAGAGGGUGAGAAUCCCGUCUUUGACACGGACUACCAGGGCUUUGUGAUGCGCUCUCAAAGAGUCGAGUUGUUUGGGAAUGCAGCUCUAAAUGGGUGGUAAAUUCCAUCUAAAGCUAAAUAUUGGCGAGAGACCGAUAGCGAACAAGUACCGUGAGGGAAAGAUGAAAAGAACUUUGGAAAGAGAGUUAAACAGUACGUGAAAUUGUUGAAAGGGAAACGCUUGAAGUCAGUCGCGUUGGCCAGGGAUCAACCUUGCUCUUUUGCUUGGUGUACUUCCUGGUUAACGGGUCAGCAUCAAUUUUGACCAGUGGAAAAAGGUCGAGGGAAUGUGGCAUCUUCGGAUGUGUUAUAGCCCUUGAUUGUAUACAUUGGUUGGGAUUGAGGAACUCAGCACGCCGCAAGGCCGGGUUUUUAACCACGUUCGUGCUUAGGAUGCUGGCAUAAUGGCUUUAAUCGACCCGUCUUGAAACACGGACCAAGGAAUCUAACAUGCCUGCGAGUGUUUGGGUGGAAAACCCAAGCGCGUAAUGAAAGUGAAAGUUGGGAUCUCUGUCGUGGAGAGCACCGACGCCCGGACCAGACCUUCUGUGACGGAUCCGCGGUAGAGCAUGUAUGUUGGGACCCGAAAGAUGGUGAACUAUGCCUGAAUAGGGUGAAGCCAGAGGAAACUCUGGUGGAGGCUCGUAGCGAUUCUGACGUGCAAAUCGAUCGU